UCUUGGUCAUUUAGAGGAAGUAAAAGUCGUAACAAGGUUUCCGUAGGUGAACCUGCGGAAGGAUCAUUACCGAAUUGUCAAACGGGUUGUUGCUGGUCCUCGAGAGGGGACAUGUGCACGCUCUGUUUACACAUCCACUCACACCUGUGCACCCUCCGUAGUUCUAUGGUCUGGGAGACCUUGUCUUCCUGCCGUGGUUCUACGUCUUUACACACACACUGUAACAAAGUCUUAAGGAAUGUAUGCAGCGUCUAACGCAAUACAAUACAACUUUCAGCAACGGAUCUCUUGGCUCUCGCAUCGAUGAAGAACGCAGCGAAAUGCGAUAAGUAAUGUGAAUUGCAGAAUUCAGUGAAUCAUCGAAUCUUUGAACGCACCUUGCGCCCCUUGGCUAUUCCGAGGGGCAUGCCUGUUUGAGUAUCAUGAACACCUCAACUCUCAUGGUUCGCCGUGAUGAGCUUGGACUCUGGGGGAUUUGCUGGCCUGCGGUCGGCUCCCCUCAAAUGAAUCAGCCUCCCAGUGUUUGGUGGCAUCACGGGUGUGAUAAAUAUCUACGCUCGCGGUUGUCUGCCAGAUAACCUUUGGUGACAAAGGUUUGCUGGAGCUUACAGACGUCUCUCCUCAGCGAGGACAGCUUUUUGGACGUUCGAUCUCAAAUCAGGUAGGACUACCCGCUGAACUUAAGCAUAUCAAUAAGCGGAGG
rnacentral:rRNA from 1 species